rnacentral:tRNA from 1 species
AGCCUUGAAGUAUUUAUUACGUUGAAUUGCAAAUUCAGAGAAGCAAUUGAAUAAUUGCCGGGGCUU